rnacentral:rRNA from 1 species
UACGUAGGGUGCGAGCGUUGUCCGGAAUUAUUGGGCGUAAAGAGCUCGUAGGCGGUCUGUCGCGUCUGCUGUGAAAUCCCGAGGCUCAACCUCGGGCUUGCAGUGGGUACGGGCAGGCUAGAGUGCGGUAGGGGAGAAUGGAACUCCUGGUGUAGCGGUGGAAUGCGCAGAUAUCAGGAGGAACACCGGUGGCGAAGGCGGGUCUCUGGGCAACAACUGACGCUGAGGAGCGAAAGCGUGGGGAGCGAACAGG